GUAAAAGUCGUAACAAGCUCUCCGUUGGUGAACCAGCGG
rnacentral:rRNA from 1 species